UACGGCGGGGGCUAGCGUUGUUCGGAAUUACUGGGCGUAAAGCGCACGUAGACGGACUGGAAAGUCAGAGGUGAAAUCCCAGGGCUCAACCUUGGAACUGCCUUUGAAACUCCCGGUCUUGAGGUCGAGAGAGGUGAGUGGAAUUCCGAGUGUAGAGGUGAAAUUCGUAGAUAUUCGGAGGAACACCAGUGGCGAAGGCGGCUCACUGGCUCGAUACUGACGCUGAGGUGCGAAAGCGUGGGGAGCAAACAGG
rnacentral:rRNA from 1 species